rnacentral:rRNA from 1 species
GACGAACCGUGCGAACGUUGUUCGGAAUCACUGGGCUUAAAGGGCGCGUAGGCGGGUGUGCAAGUCUGUGGUGAAAGCCUCCAGCUUAACUGGAGAAGUGCCAUGGAUACUGCACAUCUUGAGGAGGGUAGGGGCAUCUGGAACGGUCGGUGGAGCGGUGAAAUGCGUUGAUAUCGACCGGAACUCCGGUGGCGAAGGCGAGGUGCUGGACCCUUUCUGACGCUGAGGCGCGAAAGUGUGGGGAGCGAACAGG